CCUCCCCCGGGAGGCGGAGGAGACCCUAUCUCGGGCCGCCGCGCCUAGGCCCGUGGACAGCCUGCGGCAGGGGCAUGGCGGCCCCGAGCAGCGGCGUGCCUGCGAGGAGCCGUGCAUCUUCAUGCCUUCGUGAACACGUGUAGAGUUACCUUCACAGGCCGCCUAGGCCCUGGCCAAUUCGCCCUUCCUCUGCCCGUCUGCUCAGCCGGCUUCCCGCUAACCUUGACAAGCAUUUCUGCGCACGGUGCACGCUUCUUGCAUUUUUUUUUCCUUCUUUGAACUAAAACCGAAACAAACUCCUGUUUUCUCGAGUGGUUUCUGUAGCGGCGCUGAACCGGAACACCCCAGAUGCUUUCUCUCGGUGAGAGGGUGAGCUGGUAGUCAGCCCAUUUCUCACACGCGGAAACUGAGGCCUGCGGAGAGGCGGCCCCGGACAGAGAUGAGGAAAGUCAGGAAGAUGCGCAUGAGGUCCAGAAAGUUUGUGCUGAGAUUUGAAGAAGGAGAAGAAAAAGAAGGCGGAAUGCUUACCCUGGAAGGGGAACGGCAGCGACAGAGCAAGUCUCAGGAAGGGCCUGGUGUGUGUUAGAGCAGGUGCACAAGUCAUCACCAGAAAAUCUUCAGGAUACAAUACACAAAGAGAGGAGCUGCCAGUGCUGGAAGGACGGGUCCCAGAAGGCAGCUUUCUCGAAGCUACAAGCUCGGCGGAGGACCACGGGGAAAGGUGCCGUACUAGGAGAGACCUUUCUCAGAAAGACACGCCAUCCUGCAGCCGAGGCCACCACAGGCAGUGAACCCCGGUUUGCGUGCCUCCCGGGCAUGGGUGCUACUGCCUCUCUCCCGUCCUAGGACUCACGGGCAGUGCCUGCUCAGGACCCUGGGCUGGCUGAGUGUCUAAUCGACGGUGGAAUUAGGGGAGGAGGGCGCUGCCGGGGAUACACGUCUCUCCACUCCGCACGGAGCACACCCUGGGUGGAGGAGGACAGGUGUUGAGACGGUGACUUAGCCUUUGGCCUAAAAUGCUGUCGUCACAGUCUUCGUCGCGCUCACCCCGUCUCGUGUUUGACUUGGACCGUGUACUUAGUAAUCUAGCUUCAACUCACCCUAGAGGCGAGAGGAAGUGACGCGACUAUGGCAGGAGAAAUCUGGAAAUCUGGAAAUCCAAGGAUAGCACUAGCCUCUGGUAACUUCCAUGUUUCUGGUCACUCUUAUGGACAAACCAUUCCUAAUUCCCCAACAGCCACGGGUGCCCCGCUGCUUCCCAGAGGGGCUUGGAGAUCUGAGGCAUAGCGUACAGAGCCCAGAUCGCUGUGGGCUCGGGAGCCUCUUUCCCCGCGACCAGGUGAGACUCGGACUCUGGGGGACUCAGGCCGCGUGUGAAGGCCUGGCGCACAGCAGAGGUACCACCUCACUUCACAGGCCUGAGAGUGAAGCUGUGACAAAGCCACUCUAUCUGUCUGGACCACACAGAGAUAUCACAGCAAAGCAAAAGACAACAUAUUCUUAAGAACAUUCCUCUUGUUCCUGUCCUUUUUGUUUGUUUAUUUGUUUGUUUUGGUGGUGGUAGGAAGGCUUGGUAAAAAUGAAGAGGGCUCCAGGGGAAAGCAAGAAGAACUAAUGUUUGGAUGCUAGGAAGGAGGAAAAGUCCUCAGUAAGAGGGUCCACUGGCUAAAAUGCCCAAACACGAAGGAUCUAAAGCUAGUGGACGUCAUCAGAGAGCAAGGAGCUCGGAGGAUCCAGAGGAAUGACCAAGUUACCUGCUGAGUCAGGGCCUUGUGGACUUGCACGAGGAGGCACCACUACCGUUUCUGCGAGGAACUCUAGCUGGAAAAUGCAAGCUCUCAGCAGAGGAAAUGCAACCUUCCCUUCUCUGGGCUAGAAGGGUGGUCGUGGUAGGCUGGGGGAAAUGAUGGCGUGGUCUCUCUCUGGUAGGCAGAUCUGUUUCCUGAGUCCCUGAGCUGCAGCUGUUGAGUUUCCAGACACAAACAAGUACGUAUUCUGUGAGCCUCGCUGAGGCCACACAGCAAGGAAGAGCCAAGCUGGAUUCCAUUCUGCUUUGCGCAUCAGCAGCCCAGCUGCCAGCUGAACUCCAGGGCAAGCUCUGCGCCUGGUAACGACGCAGAGGCUCUAGGUAAGCCCGGCCUCCCACUCACUAAAAGCCGGCAGUCGGGGAAAAGUGGUCCGCGGUGUCCACGGCCACCGUGUAGAGUGUGCACCACAAGAAGACGACCAGCUGAGGGCACGAAUGUCGUUUCUUGAUGUCGUCUGUUCCUUUUCGCCCACUAUGACCAAGGACUGAGCUCCCUCUACGCCAGACCAUAUGGAAGUCGAGCUGGGGGCUUCAUCUGACCAGGAAGAGAUGAGGUGACAUGGAGGGAAGAUGGGGUUUGGGAGGCUCUCAGGCAGGUUUCAGGUGGCUAAGUGGGGAAGGUCAGGCUAUGUAAAAGGGCUGAUUGGGACAGUUGCAACUCGCCUGGGUCAAAAGAGUUGUGAGCUGGGAAUGACAUUUGGCGUGGAGAGAAGGAGCUGAGGUCAUUGGGAUGAUGUUACUUGGAAACAGGUGCAGCAUUCCUCAGAUGCGAGGAGAAUCUUGUAUCUCUGCCUGGUCAGUGUGUACAUGUGAGGAUGAGGACAUAUGCAGAGUGGCGUGGCAUGGGCUUUCUCGGGAAUAACGUUGUGUUACCUCAGAGCUGGAAGUUUCCACUAGAGCAGUGGUUCUCAAAGUGUGGUCCCCAAACUAGCAGCCUCCACGUCACCUGGGAACUUGUUAGAAAUGUGGAUUCUCAGGCCCCUGAUCCGCUGAAUCGGAAACUCUGGGGUGAGGCGCGGCCAUCUGUGUUUCAGGCAGCCCUUUAGAUGACCCUAAUGCCCACUGAAGUUUGAGAACCGCUGGUCUAGAUCAUGCAGAUAAAGACUUGCCUGAAUGACCUGGAUUCAGCAGACGUGAGAACUCGGGGGAGGCCCCAGAGGUGCAGGCAAGGUGCCAGCCUCCC